rnacentral:rRNA from 1 species
CAGCAGCCGCGGGAAUACGUAGGGUGCGAGCGUUAAUCGGAAUUACUGGGCGUAAAGCGUGCGCAGGCGGUUAUAUAAGACAGAUGUGAAAUCCCCGGGCUCAACCUGGGACCUGCAUUUGUGACUGUAUAGCUAGAGUACGGUAGAGGGGGAUGGAAUUCCGCGUGUAGCAGUGAAAUGCGUAGAUAUGCGGAGGAACACCGAUGGCGAAGGCAAUCCCCUGGACCUGUACUGACGCUCAUGCACGAGAGCGUGGGGAGCAAACAGGAUUAGAUACCCCAGUAGUCCCUGUCUCUUAUAC